UGUUUGAUGUUCUAACGUGGACCCGUGAUCCGGGUUGCGGACAGUGUCUGGUGGGUAGUUUGACUGGGGCGGUCUCCUCCUAAAGAGUAACGGAGGAGCACGAAGGUUGGCUAAUCCUGGUCGGACAUCAGGAGGUUAGUGCAAUGGCAUAAGCCAGCUUGACUGCGAGCGUGACGGCGCGAGCAGGUGCGAAAGCAGGUCAUAGUGAUCCGGUGGUUCUGAAUGGAAGGGCCAUCGCUCAACGGAUAAAAGGUACUCCGGGGAUAACAGGCUGAUACCGCCCAAGAGUUCAUAUCGACGGCGGUGUUUGGCACCUCGAUGUCGGCUCAUCACAUCCUGGGGCUGAAGUAGGUCCCAAGGGUAUGGCUGUUCGCCAUUUAAAGUGGUACGCGAGCUGGGUUUAGAACGUCGUGAGACAGUUCGGUCCCUAUCUGCCGUGGGCGCUGGAGAACUGAGGGGGGCUGCUCCUAGUACGAGAGGACCGGAGUGGACGCAUCACUGGUGUUCGGGUUGUCAUGCCAAUGGCACUGCCCGGUAGCUAAAUGCGGAAGAGAUAAGUGCUGAAAGCAUCUAAGCACGAAACUUGCC
rnacentral:rRNA from 4 species